AUUCCAGCUCCAAUAGCGUAUAUUAAAGUUGUUGCGGUUAAAAAGCUCGUAGUUGGAUUUCUGUUGAGGACGACCGGUCCGCCCUCUGGGUGAGCAUCUGGCUCGGCCUUGGCAUCUUCUUGGUGAACGUAGCUGCACUUGACUGUGUGGUACGGUAACCAGGACUUUUACUUUGAGGAAAUUAGAGUGUUUCAAGCAGGCAUACGCCUUGAAUACAUUAGCAUGGAAUAAUAAGAUAGGACCUCGGUUCUAUUUUGUUGGUUUCUAGAGCUGAGGUAAUGAUUAAUAGGGAUAGUUGGGGGCAUUCGUAUUUAACUGUCAGAGGUGAAAUUCUUGGAUUUGUUAAAGACGAACUACUGCGAAGGCAUUUGCCAAGGAUGUUUUCAUUG
rnacentral:rRNA from 1 species